AGCACUUUGGACUAGCCUAUUCAGAAAGUAUGAGUUUGAUUUACGUUUAAAGUAAUCGAAACGAAAGCGCGUUCAGCGCUCUGAUUGGCCGGCUCGAACAAACCAACCAAUCAGAACGCCGAACGCGCUUUCAUUUCGUCAGACAAACAGCAGCUUAAACCAAUCAGCUUAAUUUUAUCGAUUUAAAUUUCCUCCUGUUACUACGUCUACUACACAUUGCUUCUGUUACAGUCUUCUAAGUUCUAGUACCAUCAGAUCUGAACAGCCUGGUCUAGUUGCAGUCCAGCGCAGAAGAAUACACAGUAUCUUCGGAUGACCACAUCCACGAUGUUUGGCAGCACCAGUACCAGUUUCCUGUAUACCCGAGUCAACGAAAGAGAAGGUCGAUGCUUGGGAGAAAUAACAGCAAAACAUCAGCAGUGGGCGGCGGACUGCUCGACCUUGCGCUCGAGACAAACCCAGCACCACGACACACGAUUUCACCUCACAACCAUCGCCACAAUCUAAGAAAUCAACAUCCAACGCUGUCUUCGUUCAAGAAUAACUACACUGUCGCUGUUCAUACACAGCGAUGUAUAGCGAACACAGUGGGAAGGACCGCUUUGUCCGCGACUCGGUAUCCAACGCGCGCCUCCAGUCUCGUUUGCCAAUUUCGCGCACAAGUUCAUCGACUUUUGACAAGGAUGCAUGAAUCAAGUGUAAUGAUACGAUACGGCAUCGCUCUUUGUUCCAACCGGACGGUGCCGCAUUGUUUUAGGAACGCUGACCUUAAUUAAUGUUGCCUAACGUUGGUAGUAGGGUUCAUUCAGUUGUGUAAAUUGCUUAGGUUUCUAAAUAUUUCUAUUAAUAUCUUUAAGAGCAGUGUUUGCAACUAAAUACAUUCAAUACAGUUUUCGUACAUUUUCUAAUUUGUUUAUUUUUUAUUCAUAUCACGCGUGACGUCACCUUUUUGGGUAAACCAACGUACUUUUUUCGUAAACUAGCUAGAAGAGUUGUUAAACGUUAGUCUUUUGUUUUUGUGAGAAUCAUAAUGUAAUUAUUGUAAUAUAUUUUACCUAAUGCAUUGUUAAUAGCUAUUUUUAGUUUUUACCUAAAUUCUUUGUAUAAAAAUGUGGUCUCAUUGAGAAAAGUGUAGAAAAUAAUUGUGAAUAAUAAAAUAUUGUAUGUUAUUGUAA